UUUUUUUACACCGUCAACCAAUCAAAUUUUAAAGAUGUGAGAAAAUUUCUCAUUUUAUUUAAUUUCAUUAAUUGACGUGGCACAUCCUUGAAAUCUGAUUGGUUACGGUGUAAAAAAA
rnacentral:pre_miRNA from 1 species